GGAGGGUUUUUGGUGAGUUCUGGCACCCCUUUUUCUAGAAAAACAGCACUGGAAAAAGAGAAUUUGGUCUGAUAUGACUAUUGAAAUUGUAGUCUGCCUGUAUUUUCCUUUCAGCCUGUCCAUAUUUGGGGUUGGUUUAGAAGGCAUCUCUUAUCACUGGAAAGGUAAAUGUUUGGCUUAUUGCUUUGAUCAUACAUAGCUUUGCCUUUCAUUGCCAGAGUCCACAUCUCUUCAAUUUAGGUGAGGGGCGUUUUCUCUGGGUAAGCAGCAACUGUUUUUUUGGUAACGUGCAGCAUGUUUUAACCCAGUCUUUCCCAACCUGGCAGCCUCCAGAUGUUUGGAAAUACAAUGGACAUGCAGGUUGGCACUGAUGGGGAUUGUAUUCCAAAACAUCUGUAGGACAUGGAGAAAGCUGCCUUAAACCAUGCCAUAUUACCUGUGUUGACAGGCCACUCUUCAAGAUUAAGUAGUCUCAGUUCUAAACAUACUUACACACACUUGUUUGCAGUCACUUUAAAAUUAAUGGGACUCGCUUUCAAGCAAAGGUGGCUAGUCUCUCCAUUUACAUUCUGUGGGUGUUUGUUUGCUGCUUGUUUUUAAGUGGAAGGAGGUGGAACAAACCAAGUGUGACAUUUAACCAGCACUUCUGGACUCAUCACUUCUGCAGGCCUCAGUUUUAAAUAGCCUUGCAUCAUGCUGUUAAAUGUUUAAUUUCUCGCGGAUAGGCAAUCAUGUUUGUUUGUCGUUGACUGCAUUUCCCUGAAGGUGCUUUGUUGUUCUUUAAAAGCCCAUCUCCAAUAUUAAAGAUCUUUGUUUUCUUCAUGUAGAACAGGCAUUCCGUACACUGAGAAGGAUUUUAAUGGCAUCGGCUGAGCUGGCGUCCUCUGGGGGCAGCCUCAAUGAAGGAAGUGUUUUUGAUGCUGGCUACCAUCUUGGAGUAGGUUUGGUUAUGUCAAUGCUACAAAAGCAAACAGGUCUACUUGUAGAAGGUCACCUGUGUAGCAUCUGGCCCCACAGACAUGGAAUCUGUUGUUACCGUCUUGAAGAAAAUGUAC